rnacentral:misc_RNA from 1 species
GUACCCUCAAGCUUUGCUUGGUGUUGGGCGUCUUGUCUUUUCCGUUUUGUGAUUAGACUCGCCUUAAAGUAAUUGGCAGCCAGUGUUUUGGUAGUAAGCGCAGCACAAUUUGCGUCUUGGUCCCUAAGCAGUGGCAUCCACAAAGCCUUUUUCUCAC